rnacentral:rRNA from 1 species
UUUGGACCCACCUGACUCCAUCCCGAACUCAGAAGUGAAACGAAACAGCGUCGAUGGUAGUGUGGGGUCUCCCCAUGUGAGAGUAGAACAUCGCC